UACGAAGGGGGCUAGCGUUGCUCGGAAUCACUGGGCGUAAAGGGUGCGUAGGCGGGUCUUUAAGUCAGGGGUGAAAUCCUGGAGCUCAACUCCAGAACUGCCCUUGAUACUGAGGAUCUUGAGUUCGGGAGAGGUGAGUGGAACUGCGAGUGUAGAGGUGAAAUUCGUAGAUAUUCGCAAGAACACCAGUGGCGAAAGGCGGCUCACUGGCCCGAUACUGACGCUGAGGCACGAAAGCGUGGGGAGCAAACAGG
rnacentral:rRNA from 1 species